GUGGGACCCGACACACACUGAACCACAUUAAAAGAGGCAAUAAGACUUAGAAAGUCCUUCACCAGCCGCUUAUCGGGACAGCACACACGAAUAUUAAAAUGCACAAUAUUUCUCCUGUCUGGAUUAAAUUUCAGAAAUACAGUUUAGAUUUACUAAAUAUUCCAGGAAUUCUUGCUCUCAGUUUGACCAUAGAAAUGAACUUGUUGUUGAGGCAGUUUGUGUUUGAGUUUUUCUGCCUCGAGCUUCAUCACCAGUGAUGUUCAGGACUCAUUCUUGUAUUUUACACUCUCUGAUGUUUUCUUUUCUUCAUGUCUAGUGUGUGAAUCAUUUCUGGUUUGUCUCUUCAGUGUCUCAUGUGGCCCUGCAGCUUCUCCUCCUCCACCUCCUCCUGAAGCCUUCAUCUUCUUCAUCAUCAGCUGCUCAGUGACUCUGUUGGACGUCUCACCGUGUGGCAGCAGCUCAGGAGUUUGCAGUCAACCAAGGCCGACUCAGAAUCACUCCCACCGGGAAGAUCUGUGAAGGAAGGUCCACCCGGCUGGUCCAGAAGCUCCGGUCCAGCAGAGCAGCGUCAGGAUGGAGACGUAACCGGGAGUUUGCAGUCAACCAAGGCCGACUCAGAAUCACUCCCACCGGGAAGAUCUGUGAAGGAAGGUCCACCCGGCUGGUCCAGAAGCUCCGGUCCAGCAGAGCAGCGUCAGGAUGGAGACGUAACCGGUGUUGAUGUCACCGCCUUGACGAAUAGAAGAAAAGGGCAAAAUUUGCAAAAAAUCUU